AUGACUUCAUAAAGUAAAUAUUGAUUUCUCACUCACCAAGUAUCUGGUGCAGGCUGGCUAGCCCUUCUCUUUUUAUAGAUAUACCAUCUAGAACAAACGACCUUCAAGACAUUGAAGCAGGGAAAGAAGGAGAUGGAGGAGACACAUCAGCCAUUAAUGCUUCAGCUCGGGAGUGGCACAUGUCAUUUAGGCCCAUGGUCAAUGGCCAGAGCUAGUCACAUAGCCCCAACCUAGCUGGCAGGCAGGAUGGGAAACAUACAGGAGCACAUGGAAUAUUUGAUGAGUACUUGCUUUCACUUAUAGUAAAAAGAGGAGCUGCUUGUGUUUAAAGCCAGGGUGAACUUGCCUCUCAGUCUUCCUUUCCCUCUGUGAAAGCCCUGAAGACAGAGAUCCCCAGCUCCUCAAUUGCCGGCAUGAACCACCGCAUAUUAAAAGAUUUGCAACUGCAGUCUAGUUAGCUGUGUAGCAUUCUUGGGGAAUCAGCAAAAGAUUUCCUUCUCCAUAAAUAUCUCUCUCACUUAAUCUGGUACCUAAAACUUCCACUAUUAAUACUACUCUUUGGAUGCCACCUCAAUAUAUGCAUAUUUGCAAUAAAUUAAGGUGAUAAGUAAGUACUGGAGCCCUUUCAGGGAGCAGGGAUUGAGGAAUGGGAGAAUUGGGCUGAAGGUGUGCACUGGGGGGAGAGAAAGGAAAACUGGUGUCAGUGGGUCCUACAGAUCUGCAAGAGGGUCCUGAGGAUGUAGGAUGGGGGUUGGCCAGGAGUAGACAGGGCUUCCCAAGGAAGGGGAGAAGAGGCCUUUAGGGCAAUGAUCCAUGUUUUAUCUUUGCCAAGGGCCUGACCUAUUUUGGUCUCCAGGGCAACAACUCUUCAUCCAACUGCAUCCAAUAAGGUCACAAAUAUCUCUUUGGACUGAGUCUACUUUUGGAAGAUAAACUCAGAAAGAUCUGUCCAGCUAGACUGUAAUGAAGAGACAGAAAAAAGAUAAUCCAUGCAUGAUAUUUCAGAAUUUCUUCUUACUCUUUAUACAAAGCUUCAAGCCAGGAAAGAAGCAUCAAAUAUUGUUAACGGACACCUGCUCAAAGUAUGGAAGAGGAAUGGAAAUGAUGAACUCCCAAUUCAGGAGGAUACUUAGAGCAAUUCAGCAUCUAGAAGCCACUCAUUGCAUGGAGUAGGUGUUAAUAGACACUGCUGAAUAAAAUGAAUGAUCCAUUCUUUCUGGGGAAGGUG
rnacentral:lncRNA from 1 species